GACAAGUGCAACAGCCUUGGGCAGGGGCUCCCAGUUCCAUCCCCCUACUCCUAAAUUAGAUGUAUCACCAGGCACAGACAGCACGGCUUAGCCCUGCCAACAAGAAAUACAUGUGCACAUGCCAAGAAUAGGAGCUACAGAUAUUAAUGGAAAGUCUGUGAUGAAAACAAGAGUGCCUACAGAGUUCAAGCAAAUCCAAACUCUGUUAGCAGCUGCGCAGAGAUUCACAGGAUUGUACAUUGGCACUUACAUGUGACCUAAAUUUCACCUGGAAUGGUGUCCUUUUCUGGUGUCUGCAGUGCCACAUUGGUACUGGUUGGAAGAGCACCGCGCUGUGUUUAUGCACUUUUGUCUCUGCAGGUCAUUAGCAACAUUUGAUCACUGCACAUUCCCUUCCAAAUUCUAUUUUCAAAUUAUAAUUUACAGUUUCUGACCUAAUAUAUGUGGAAUCGCUUUUGUGAAUGGCAACAAAAAACUUCUGCUUUUUCUUAUAAUUGUUAAAUUGCUUGAGAAUAUGUUCUUCGUUUUUCUUAAUUAUUUUAUCAUUGCAAAAAAAAAAAAAAAAAAGUCAGUUUUUAUUGGAAAACCACUAGUUAAAGUCUUUUAAAUUGCUUCUGCAAAGGAAUUGUGUACUGCUUUCUAUACCUCUAGCACCUGAUUUGUGUGCCUAGAACACAUGCUUCAUUAACCCCUUUCACAAGCUAAGCAUCUGCUGCUCCAAAUGUAAUGCAAAUCACUUUUUAAUGGUCACAUUGACUAGAUAGGAAAUGCUUUUGUUUGAGCUAUGACUUGUAGUUAAUUAAGCCAAUUAGCAUGUGAUAUAAGCACUUCUGAGAAGACAAAGCCCAAGAAUAGCUCUCAAAAAAAAGGUGGAAGGCUUUCAUGCAGCUAUAAAUGCUACAGAAGAGAAAAGGAAUGAAGCAAGAGGAAGUUUAAAAAUAAAUUCUAAAUUUAUUCACUACUUUAUCUCGUUUACAGCAGUCUCAGCUGGUCUUCUCUGAGAAACAUAUUUGUGGGCCCGAGAAUCUACUUACUAGGUCUGUGUAAGGAGAUAAAACCAGACUUUUUACUCAGCAGAGAUGAUGGGCAAUAACAUUUCUGCUGAGAUCUUGGUUAUAUCAUGAAAUUAUCUUUUAUCUCAACUGCACUUUUGACUUCCUUCCAAAAGAAGACUUUUCUGCUUAACACCAGAAGAGAGUCUCAGAGUCUGGCUGUUAGGGUAAAGACUGCCCUUUCUUCAAAGUAACAACCAAAAAGACUUCUGUGCCUUUUAAAUGGAAAUGUAUCCCAUUCCUUUUAGCACUGUUUCACAAAGUAAUGGGUAACAGUGAGACAUUUUAUAAUUUAACCACCCUAGAUAUAUGCAGUGUAUGCAUGAAGUCUCAGGAAUAAGUUGCAUUGGUCUUUCAGAAAUAAAACCAAAUUGGGACCAUGUAUAAUUUGAAAUAUGCAAUGACCAAGAGGUGUGAGUUAUGAUAGAUUCUUUUCAGUGUGCAUGAUACCUGAAUUUCAUUUGCUGGGAAUUUUCAAUGAUUUUAAUAAAACUGUUUUUACUCAGUGUAAAGUAGCAAAUCUUUUGUGGUCUUUCCUAAAACAGUUUGAACCUUGUUAUUGUUUUGCCAGUUUCUUCUUGUUUUAUAUCCUGGAAUGAAGCAUGAUUCUCAAAGAAAAAUCUGAUUCUGUCAGAUAAAGUAGAAGUUGAUUAGGAUGCUAAAGUACUUAAUUGCUAUUGGUAAUUAAUUUUUAUGCUCUUCUAUUAAUUAAUUAGAGAAAAAGUAUCAAAUCAGCUGUCAGGAUUUUGAACAAAGGAAAUGAGCUUUUAUGCCUACAUUGCAUUCUUACACUUGCAUUGAAAAUUUGCUAACUUCUGUUGCAAAAAUUCAGGCUUGAAAAUUGCUCCCUAUCCAGUGUUCCCUCCCCAUUAUGUAAUUUUGUUGCAUCCUUCCUCUUUUUUUCCCCUCUUUUUCUUCUUUCCACAUGAAUAUACACAUUACUAUUUAGCUUAAUUAAUCAUAAGCUCACAAUUGGCUUUAUGAGACUGGAUCUGACACUCCUCAACUGAUGUACAAUUUCAUACAAAUACAAAUGAUUCAUUGUGUGACAGACAUCUUUUGCAAGAGGAAAGCUUGGACAAUUCUAGUUGUUCAGUCUUCAUCUAAAAAUGAAAUAGACUCUGUUCUAGUUCUUUCAUGUACAUAAAGGUGCCUUGCAAAGAGAUCUUUGGUCUUACUUAUCAACUAUGUUCCAUAGUUGUUCCACAGCUUCCUUUCUGUUUUCCUUAUGAAGAUGUUAGAAUGGCCAUCAUCAUUUGAUCUGUAAUUUUACAGUGCUCAGUAGCAAUGGCUAAAAGAGUUUCUGUUCCUCAUCCUUUGGGUUUAGGAAUGGGUUGUUUUGAUUUCUCUAAAGGUAAAUAGAGGUUUUUUGGUGGGUUGUUGUUUUUUUUUUUUUUUGAGGAACAUGUCCUAAUCAAAGAGGUUAUAGUGAAGAUGCAAGUCCUCUUGAAAAUUCUUAUAUGAUUUUUAUAGAACAGUUAAUUUUCUUUCCUCACAGAGUUAUCCUUGAUCUUAUCAUUCAGUUCUGCAAAAGAGCAAAAUACUCUUCUCUGAGAAACAUAGACUUAUGACUUAUAUUGACUUGAAGUAAAGGGAGGGGACUCACUGCACUACAGAAUUGUGACCAGUAUUUGGUAAAUCACUGUUAGUCUCUCAAACCUUGCCCAUAGACACAGUUACAUUGUAUUUAAAUGUGUUAAGUUCAGUAGCUGACAAGAUUCUGUUGGUCAGUGUAAUUUAUUGAUGUUCUAAGGUACUUUCUAUUACCAAGCCAUCUACUAGAUAAAAGACUUUUCAUUUUUAGAAGGUCUACAAAAUACUAAACUGAACCUCUGUUCUUCUCUGAAGGAUCACACAGUGCAAAUUAGUUUGGAUAUUUUACUCAUGGUGCAAUACUGCUUGCAAAUCAGGAUGCUAAAAAAUAAUGUACUUGUAGUUGUUAUGUUACCUAUUGACAAUACUACUGUACAAGAAAAAUGUUUGGGCAUUCUAAUGCACUACAGGAAAUGACAUUAGGAAAAAUAAUUACUUAUUUUUAAUAUCAGCUUCAAUUAGAAACAGACUUACAUUAUUAAGGAAAAAGAUAGUCUGGAAGAAAAUAUUUUAACCUGCUGAGUAGGAAAUUAAAAUCAGCACAAUGUAAAAAUCACCAGCAAAAUAGUUCAUCAUAUUCAAAGCUAGUAACUUUUAAUAACACUCUUGCAUAUCCACACUUGAAUUUUCAUGCCAGCUAUUCCCAUAGUGCAGCAGUUGCACAUCCAGCUGAGACAUGCCCUAGGAUUUGUGUUGGGCAGCAGCUGGGAGUAGAUGUGGACCAUCCCUAUGAAGUCACUGCUGCUGGUUUCCUCCCUGCACCUCUCUGACUCUGCAUUAGUGCAAGAGGCUGGGUAAGAAGGGGCUCAUGGAGGUGACAAAGGCCAUCAGCCAGCCAGAAGGGGUUCAGAGAUUACAUGAGUCAUGACAGGUAUCUACACCAGGGAAUUGGGUGCUCCGACAGUUCAGCACACCCAGCACCUGCUGGUUUUGCAAAGCGUUGGAUGACCCUUUUGCACAGCAGACCUUACGUAAACAACUGUGUGCUGUUAAAUUGCUGGCUCUCCUUCCAUAUUGACUAGCUUUAGAGACUAAAGGUUGAAUUAAACAAAUGUUUUAUUCCACCGUGGCUUACACCACUAUGAUAUCUUUACUUCCAGAUGUCUGUGUUUUCUAAAGCUUCCCAUUUGCCAUUAAUCUUUCUCUUACAGGCUUUCCAGAAGAGGUUUGAGUCAAUUUGAAAUGUGCACAUAAUAGGAUAACUAAAGCCAUUUAGCUGUUCAUACCAUGUAGUUUUAGCAAAGAAUCAGUAUUUUGUACGUAGCAACACUUAAGGACCAAGAAAUGAUAUAAUAUUCCGCUCAAGCCUACCUAUUUUAUCUAUACAGAGGCUGAGAUGGACUGUUUUCAUGCAGAUUGAGAAGUCUGAAUGUGACAAUUACUCAGAUUAAGAUUUAGGAAUAUGACAGAGGAAAUUUUUAAUGGUAUUUUUCAGCACCCUGGCAACAGCUCUCAUCCCAAAAGAGAAAUGCUUCAGAUGCAAUUAAAGAUUAGUGCUUAAUAAAGAAUUCUCUUUCCAAAGGAACUGGAUAGACUAGUAGAUGUGGUGGCUGCAGAAUUGCAAAGUGGACCACAAUAAUACAUAGCAGUUUGGUUUAAAAAAAUCAAACAAACAGUCACAGGAAGACUGCUUUUCAUUUGGACAUGCAUUUGCAGUAAAAGUUUAAAGUCCUUCAUAGAAACCUUUUGGUGUAUUACAGACUAUAUUUCAUUCUAAACUGUCAAGUGAUAAAAAUGGUUUCUAUAGUAUUUUAUAACUUUGUUCAUUUCAGAUUCCAUGAAUCCUGAAUUUGUGAGUGUCUCUCACUUCUGAGUCAGGAAGGACUGCCAGCUGUGACUGACAUGUAACUACCAACUCCAUGUUAGUGAUUGAACUGCUAAAAGUCAAUAGACAAAUUAGAGCUUCUUUCUAACUGCACAGUGACCUACAUGUAAAGAAUUCUACCCAGGGUAGGCGCCUGAGACUCAGGAAGAGAAAUAUUUAUAAGUAGUAAGUUGGAGGAAAAUAAUGAUCAAAAUUUUUCAUGCUCUUACAUGCAAACACUGCAGAGAAACAAAGUGACCAGAAGUAAGAAAGUGUUAAAGCCAUUGAGCCAGAUGCUGUUUUGCUGUUCAAGAAUGGUAGCUCUAGAUAAGUCAUCAGCAGAUGAGAUGUUCAGAUAUGUACAUGCACAGCUAAAUUUGGUAAUGAUAUUAUCUAAUUGAUAAAACUUUUAGAGAGGUUUAGCUAUGACUAGAUUACCAGAAAGAUAGUGUGAUCAGGUCACAGAUGGUUGUUUUCUUAGUCUUUAUUAGUGUUCAUCACUGAGCACACCUCACACCAGGAAGUGUGAUAUCACCCUUCCUAGCUAUUGUUAACUCUGUGGUUUAGAUUAGAUUCCUACCUUGAGGAACUAAAACUUGUGGGACCAGGCACAAAAUGGUAGACAUUAAUUUAAAAUGGUAAUUUAGGUUCACAAUUCGGAGUUAAUUUUAAAAGAACAAAAACAAAGGGUGGGAAUCUGAAAUAACAGUCUUCACAUGGUUGCAAGUGAUGGUUAAAGGAUGGGUGAUUGAGUAAAUUAGUGUGACUUUCUCAUGUAUUAAGCCACGUUCGUCUAACUUAAGUGGGAUAGUAAAGAAAUGCCAUGGAGUAGGGGAAUUUUAACGCAGAAGAUGGAAUUUUUAUGUACUGACAAACCCAGAUGCAGUCUACUUUUGUUUUGGUUUCUUUUCAGAAGAUAAGCUAUAAAAUAGUUUCACAAAUUAAACUUAUUUUUUGUUUUCUGGCAAGGUAGAAAAGUUUGGCUGUGGGCUAAGAAACUCUCUUCUUCCAUUUCUGCUCCUGCAGAGUCAUAUGAUAGACAUUAGAAUAUUUUUAAGGCCAGACCUUGUGGUGUGAAAUCAUCUCUGGAGAAGAUCACAAGGGAAACUUUCUCUUUUUGUAUAAUGUAUAUAUCCCAAACAAAGGAGAGUCAGUGCCUUGCUAGCAUUCCACCACUGGUGUACAGAUGUUACAAAUCAUGUUUUUAUUCAUGAAUAUUCAUUGCCUAAACAGUAGCAGGCAUAUGAAAGUCUGAAUGGGAAGCUUAAUAGGAACAAUCUUGCUUCUUCUUAUUAUUAUUAUUUAUUAUUUUUAAAGUUAUUUAAUUUUAAAAGUGACUUAAAACUCUCUUUUAAAGUCUUUGAUGACUUUGAACACUUGUAUUAUGGGGUAUUUUAUUUUAUUAUGGGGUAUUAUGGAUAUUACUGAGAUUUUUUUCCUGUUCUAAGUGCAGACUAUCAAUCUAAAGUAACUGCAACGUCUUAGAACAGUGUUUUUGCACUAACUUCUACAAUGUUUCAUGGAAAGCCCUGAAGGGCCUUGACUCAUAUCCUGAAAGGAAGUGGCAGUAACAAUCUGUCAUGGUUUAAGACAAUUUUAAAAAACACUCUAAAACAAGUUACCUCCCCUUGGUUCCAACCAGUCCUCUUCCACAAAUAAGGAACAGGUACCAGCAGAUAAAAGUGAAAAUAAAACCCCCACAACCAAAUAGUUUACUAAUAAGAAAAACUGCAACAGGCAAAAAAUGCCAGUAAAUAAUAUCUAGAUACAAAACUGCUAAAUCUCAGGAAAUCCCUGAGAACAAAGUUACUCAAAUUGUUGGGGCACUGUCCCUCCCGAGCUGGCGGCUCCGGCUGCUGGCAGCACACAGGGAGAAAAGGGAAAUGGCGGCCGGCCCUGCCCACAGAAUGGCAGCCCCCAGGGGUGACCACAUGGCUUGAAGGGCAAAAGGAAAAUGGCAAUGACUCUCCACCCCAGGAUGGCGGCCAACACAAGCAAUUACCUCCUUUCCCCCUGUACCACUCACAUGCCCCGUGUGUGCCCAGUCUGUGCGCAGAAAAGUGUGCUGCAAAAACACUCCUUUGUCCACUAUAGCCUCCUUACGGGUUCUUUAAAGGAAAUGUUCCUUACCUCUUCCCUGCUGUGACCAUUUUCUUUUUUAAGAAAACAAAACCAAGCCAAACAAACUCACAGAUUCACAAGGAUACUUUGUGUGCAGCAUGGAAUCAUCCUGGGGAUGCAGCUCUGCCCCAGGUACCAUUUGAUGGCUCUUUAGAGGUGUUGCAUAUUUGAAAUCUUCUUUGCCAUCCUACAAUAAUCUUCAAGUGCCCUUGUUGUAAUCUUUGAGAUUAUUUUAUACUGGAUGAUACAGGUUGAGUUAAUGCACAGAUAAAGGACUAACCUGAAAUUAAGCUGUGGAAUCAUUCAUGAACCUUAAUCUCUUAAUCAUGCAACAGUUGCAGGAUUGUUAUGGUUUGAUAUUGGUACUAUGCCAGCACCCCCAUGAAAAUGUAAUUUGUUAAUCGAAUGUUGUGAAAUGUGAUUGAGAAUAGAGUAA
rnacentral:lncRNA from 1 species